rnacentral:rRNA from 1 species
UUACGAGGUCAGGACACUGUGAGGAUUGACAGAUUGAAAGCUCUUUCUUGAUUCAGUGGGUGGUGGUGCAUGGCCGUUCUUAGUUGGUGGAGUGAUUUGUCUGGUUAAUUCCGUUAACGAACGAGACCUUAACCUGCUAAAUAGUCACGCGAACCGGUCCGCAAGGGCUCAAAGUUCGCGGCUCGACUUCUUAGAGGGACUAUUCGCACCCGCCAGCGAAUGGAAGUUUGAGGCAAUAACAGGUCUGUGAUGCCUUUAGAUGUUCUCGGCCGCACGCGCGUUACACUGACGGAGUCAACGAGCGUUUUUCCUUGCCCGACAGGGCUGGGUAACCUCCUGAAACUCCGUCGUGAUGGGGAUAGAUCAUUGCAAUUAUUGAUCUUGAACGAGGAAUUCCUAGUAAGCGCGAGUCAUCAACUCGCGCUGAUUACGUCCCUGCCCUUUGUACACACCGCCCGUCGCUCCUACCGAUUGAACGGUCCGGCGAGAACUCCGGAUGGUC